GCCCGGAUGGUCUAGUGGUAUGAUUCGCCCUUAGGGAACUUUGUUCUUUCAUUGGGCGAGGUCCCCGGUUCAAUCCCGGGUUCGGGCC